rnacentral:rRNA from 1 species
UACGUAGGGCGCAAGCGUUGUCCGGAAUUAUUGGGCGUAAAGAGCUCGUAGGUGGUUUGUUACGUCUGCUGUGAAAACCUAGGGCUUAACCCUGGGCCUGCAGUGGAUACGGGCAGACUAGAGGUAGGUAGGGGAGAAUGGAAUUCCCGGUGUAGCGGUGAAAUGCGCAGAUAUCGGGAGGAACACCGGUGGCGAAGGCGGUUCUCUGGGCCUUACCUGACACUGAGACGCGAAAGCGUGGGGAGCAAACAGG